rnacentral:rRNA from 1 species
AGUGAACGCUGGCGGCGUGCCUAAUACAUGCAAGUCGAACGGAGUGGCGCACGUGUGAGUAAUGUAUAGCUAAUCUGCCCUACACUAUAGCACCACAGUUUGACACGGCUUCUAAUACUCUAUAUGGUAGGAUGAGGCUAUAUUGUAUCAUCUAGUUGGUGAGGUAAUGGCUCACCAAGGCUAUGACGCAUAACUGGUCUGAGAGGAUGAUCAGUCACACGGGAACUGAGACACGGUCCAGACUACUACGGGAGGCAGCAGUAGGGAAUAUUGCUCAAUGGGGGAAACCCUGAAGCAGCAACGCCGCGUGGAGGAUGACACGUUUCGGAGCGUAAACUCCUUUUGUUAGGGAAGCGGUACCUAACGAAUAAGCACCGUCUAAAUCCGUGCCAGCCGCCGCGGUAAGAC